rnacentral:rRNA from 1 species
GACGAACGCUGGCGGCGUGCCUAAUACAUGCAAGUAGAACGCUGAAGAGAGGAGCUUGCUCUUCUUGGAUGAGUUGCGAACGGGUGAGUAACGCGUAGGUAACCUGCCUUGUAGCGGGGGAUAACUAUUGGAAACGAUAGCUAAUACCGCAUAACAAUGGAUGACACAUGUCAUUUAUUUGAAAGGGGCAAUUGCUCCACUACAAGAUGGACCUGCGUUGUAUUAGCUAGUAGGUGAGGUAACGGCUCACCUAGGCGACGAUACAUAGCCGACCUGAGAGGGUGGUCGGCCACACUGGGACUGAGACACGGCCCAGACUCCUACGUGAGGCAGCAGUAGGGAAGCUUCGGCAAUGGGGGCAACCCUGACCGAGCAACGCCGCGUGAGUGAAGAAGGUUUUCGGAUCGUAAAGCUCUGUUGUAAGUCAAGAACGAGUGUGAGAGUGGAAAGUUCACACUGUGACGGUAGCUUACCAGAAAGGGACGGCUAACUACGUG